rnacentral:tRNA from 1 species
GGGGUUGUGGCUCAGUGGUAGAGCGCUCGCUUAACAUGUGCAAGGCACUGAGUUUGAUCCUCAGAACCACA